rnacentral:tRNA from 1 species
ACGAUCGCGAGCGUCGGACGCGGCUCGAGCGUCGCGAGCGACGCCUCGUCGAACGCGUCGCCGCGUUCGAAGCGCGCGAUCGGC